AAACCGUUCAGGGGUAAACCCGAGAAACCCGAAAGAUCGAAUGGGGAGAUUCAUCGUCAGCGGCGUCGGCUUCACGGUGGUCGCGCGAUGCUCGUCGGGGACCCUCGCGGUCUCUCCGACGGCACGCCGCCGCCGCGUCAUGUCCGGCGUCGUCGUCGUGCACUUCUCCCCUAGUAGAACGUCGCGACCCGUUGGGUGUCGGACUACGGCCCGGGUGGGUGUCUGUCCCGUCGCUUCGGCGCACGGGUCAAACCCCCGGUCGCCCGUCCGGCUGCCCGGCGGUACUCGCAUGGUAUACGGUCGCCGUCGUUUUAUCGAACUGCAUCGGGCCCGCCGCAAGCGCGGUCAGUGUAUCUCCGGUGGCCACGGACCUAGCGCCGUCCCCGGACCUGACCCGCUGCUGGCCGGCGGUGUCCUCCGACCGACCGACAUAUGUAUACCGGUCCGCGACGCUAUUGCUUUGGGUACUCUCAGGA
rnacentral:rRNA from 1 species